UGCCCCAUAACAAUAACAGUGCGGCGACGAUACGUGACGCUUAUGAAAAUGCUUUAUCAUGGCGAAACGACCGGUCGGCGAACAUGAUACGUCGACUCCCCAAACCAAAAUAAGAAGGAACUGCGGUUCUUUUAAGUUGGAAUGGCUGUCGGAGUAUGCGCAAAUAGAAUAACAAGCAGUGAAACCGGUUAGUGGUGUGCCGCAGGAUUUUUCCAAUGAAAGAAAUGCGCCUUGGCUCGAAAAAGAUUGAAAAACACCGGUGUACGGUAUAUUUUUAUGAAAUACAAUAUUAUAGUGUGGCGGGCCGAUGGUCCA